rnacentral:lncRNA from 1 species
GGACUUCAUGCCCAAGAGAAGGAAGAAAUGCUGAGUUAUCCAUAAACUUCAAAGCCUGAGCAUGGCUGUGGGAGGCAGCUAAUAGACAACUCUGCAAAGAAUGGGAAUCAUUUUGAAAAGAAGCGUGGAGCUUUCACAAAAGAGAAGAGAGCUAGAGCAAUAAACAAUUUCUAUCUACACAAAGAGGAGCAGACACGUUCCUGUCUUGGACCCUUUAUUUUGGACUCCGGUUGGUCUGAAUUGAAACUGCCUUUUAGUUGGGAGCUACAGAAAGGCUGGGACCUUGAGAUCACAAUGGAUGCUUGUUACACGUGAGAUGAAAGUUUGAGGAGGAGUGUACAUCAAAAGAUGCUGCGUUGAUGACGUCAGAAAUUAUAUGCUGAGAGAGCCUGUUGCAGUGAAGAAGGUGGGGUUUGCCUCCCGCAGGUGAGGCCCUGCUCCAGCCCCAUGCCCAGUAUUACCAUGGCACUCACAAAAACACCAUUUAUCCUAUUCUUUGUUUUUUGCUGCCUGGGAACUCCUCGAAGGCAGGAUCUUGUUGAUGAUGUUUGUAUCAGCAGCACCUGGCAGAGUGCCUGGGCCCAAAAGUAGACUCCCAAAAAAUGUUUGCUGAAUUUAAUGACAACAUCUUGCAGGUUCUGUGACCACCAUGACAUCCGGUGCCCUGCUGCUUAAUAAAGUUCCGAAUGACUUCUGGAGAAUAGUAAAUGUGUCCCUAAACAUAGGAUAUAAUUUUACCUAAAAAUUUCAUAUACAUGUUGUGAGAUAAAUUGUGUUCCCCCAAAAAAGAUAUGUUCAACUCCUAAGCUAGUACCUAUGAAUGUGAUCUUAUUGGGAAAUAGGGUCAUUACAGAUGUAAGCAAGUUAAGAUGCUCAGUAUGGUGGACCCUAAACCCAAUAUGACUGGUGAGCUGAUAAGCAAAGGAGACAUAGAUAGGCACUCAGAGAGAAUACCAUAUGACAACAGAAGCAGAGAUUGGAGUGACACGGAUACAAGUCAUGGAACACCAAGGAUUGCCAGCAAUUCCAGAAACUGAAAGAAGGACAUGGGACAGAUUCUGCCCAAGAGCCGUCACGGAGACAGCAUGGCCCUGCUGACAUUGAUUUUGGACUUCCAGCCUCCAGAGCUGUGACAGAAUAAGUCUCUGAGAACUAGAUUUGAUCUCAAGGACAGGAAAAUGAAAAGGAACUCAUCAUGACUUCUGGGAUGGUUAAUAUUAAGUGUCAACUUGAUUGGAUUGAAGGAUGAAAAGUGUUGUUUGUGGGUGUAUCUGGGUGUUGCCAGAAGAGAUUAACUUUUGAGUUGGUGGGCUAGGAGAAGACCCACCCUCAGGAAGACCCACCCACAGUGUGGGCGGGCAUCAUCCAAUCGGCCCCAGCUUGGCUGGAAAAAGCUGGCAGAAGAAAGUGGAAGGAGCUGACUGGCUGAGUCUUCCAGCUUUCAUCCUUCUCCUAUGCUGGAUGCUUCCUGCCCUGGAACAUCAGACUCCAAGUUCUUCGGCUUUUGGACUCUUGGACUUACACCAGUGGACUUACACCACUGAAGGCCCGAGAGCCCCUGUCAACUUCCCCUGUCAACUUUGAGGGUUGGGGACUCAGACUGAACCACUACUGGCUUCCUUGCUCCUCAGCUUGCAGACGGCCUGCCGUGGGACUUCACCUGGUGACUGUGUGAGUCAGUUCUCCUUAAUAAACUCCCUUUCCUAUAUACAUCUAUCCUAUUAGUUCUUUCCCUCUAGAGAACCCUUACUAAUACAACAUCCAACUUCAAAUUGCUUUUUUUCAACCAUAAACCUUGACUGGAGGUCAACCAAGUAUUGGGUACUGUUCCAGGCACUUUAAUUAAAAAGAUAAAGUAAGGCACAGUUCUUGUCCUGAAAAAUAUCUGAUUCUUAGGCUGAAAACAGACACACAGUCCCAAAACACUGUGAUGAAUGCUUUAAAGGGGUUUUUAGACUUCAGGUACACCAG